UACAUUCACUACUGUAAGUCACUCUGGAUAAGAGUGUCUGCUAAAUGACUAAAA
rfam:Salmo salar isolate Sally breed double haploid chromosome ssa03, whole genome shotgun sequence.